rnacentral:rRNA from 1 species
CCUACGGGUGGCUGCAGUGAGGAAUAUUGGUCAAUGGGCGCGAGCCUGAUCCAGCCACGUAGCGUGAACGAUGACUGCCCUACGGGUUUUAAACUUCUUUUAUAAAGGAAUAAAGUGAGGCUCGUGUGCCUUUUUGUAUGUACUUUAUGAAUAAGGAUCGGCUAACUCCGUGCCAGCAGCCGCGGUAAUACGGAGGAUCCGAGCGUUAUCCGGAUUUAGUGGGUUUAAAGGCAGCGUAGAUGGGUUGUUAAGUCAGUUGUGAAAGUUUGGGGCUCAACCGUAAAAUUGCACUUGAUACUGGCAGUCUUGAGUACAGUAGAGGUAGGCGGAAUUCGUGGUGUAGCGGUGAAAUGCUUAGAUAUAACGAAGAACUCCGAUUGCGAAGGCAGCUUACUAAACUGACACUGACAUUGAGGCUCGAAAGUGUGGGUAGCAAACAGGAUUAGAUACCCUUGUAGUC